rnacentral:rRNA from 1 species
ACGGGAGGCAGCAGUGAGGAAUAUUGGUCAAUGGGCGAGAGCCUGAACCAGCCAAGUAGCGUGCAGGAUGACGGCCCUAUGGGUUGUAAACUGCUUUUAUACGGGAAUAAAGUGCGGGACGUGUCCCGUUUUGUAUGUACCGUAAGAAUAAGGACCGGCUAAUUCCGUGCCAGCAGCCGCGGUAAUACGGAAGGUCCGGGCGUUAUCCGGAUUUAUUGGGUUUAAAGGGAGCGCAGGCUGUCGUUUAAGCAUGCUGUGAAAUGUAGGCGCUCAACGUCUGCACUGCAGCGUGAACUGGAUGACUUGAGUACGCGGAAAGUGGGCGGAAUUCGUCGUGUAGCGGUGAAAUGCUUAGAUAUGACGAAGAACUCCGAUUGCGAAGGCAGCUCACUGUAGCGCAACUGACGCUAAUGCUCGAAAGUGCGGGUAUCGAACAGGAUUAGAUACCCUGGUA